AGCCAUGCAGAUACAGUCUAUGGUGUGCAUGCUAACUACCUUUAUCUAAAGGAAAAAUAAAACUUGUUUUUACUUUCAGUAGGAAGCUACAACUUGGUGCCAGACUCCUAAGCUACCUCCCAAAGAGACGAGGAUAGAAGGAACCAUCCAUCUUGAGGUUCACAUUCCAAAGAGAAGUCUCUGAGGCCUUCAAGAAGGACAUUCUGGGAAGUGAAAGUGCUCUUCAGGCUAGAAGGUGAAUAAAGCAUGGAGCCAUCUUAUGAGGACCUCAUCUUGCAUCACAGCAUGGUGGGGAGGAAGCAGCUUUGUGCAAAGAGGAAUAUGUGUGCAAGACAGAGAAGCAUGAGGAGAGACCUGUCUUUGUAACAACCUACUCUCAUGAGACACCAACCACGGCCUCACUCUGUGCUCUUGGGUGUCAGGAGGUACACCAAAAUAGUAUCAGACCUGCACAGAACUGAAGAGAUGCUAAUCUUGCUCCUGUAUCUCCUUACUCUUUGGCUGGGAAAACACCCAGCAUAAUGUUACCUUUUGGACUUUAAAUGGACAGUAUUUAAAAGGAUUAUCCCCAUGCCUGUGUCAAUUGGACUGGGUGAGUUAAAAAAAACAUAUACAUAAAGACAAUGUUUAUAUUUAAAUGUCAGACAUUGUGUGGGUAGAUUUAGUGUUCUUUCCUAUCCAUGAAUAACAUUA
rnacentral:lncRNA from 1 species